rnacentral:rRNA from 1 species
GAAGAACCAACAGGGAUUGCCCUAGUAACGGCGAGUGAAGCGGCAACAGCUCAAAUUUGAAAUCUGGCGCAAGCCCGAGUUGUAAUUUGUAGAGGAUGCUUCUGGGUAGCGGCCGGUCUAAGUUCCUUGGAACAGGACGUCAUAGAGGGUGAGAAUCCCGUAUGUGACUGGCUUGCACCCUCCACGUAGCUCCUUCGACGAGUCGAGUUGUUUGGGAAUGCAGCUCUAAAUGGGAGGUAAAUUUCUUCUAAAGCUAAAUACCGGCCAGAGACCGAUAGCGCACAAGUAGAGUGAUCGAAAGAUGAAAAGCACUUUGGAAAGAGAGUUAAAAAGCACGUGAAAUUGUUGAAAGGGAAGCGCCCGCAACCAGACUUUGCGGCAGUGUUCGGCCGGUCUUCUGACCGGUUUACUCGCUGUCGUGAGGCCAUCAUCGUCUGGGACCGCUAGAUAAGACCUUAGGAAUGUGGCUCCCUUCGGGGAGUGUUAUAGCCUCUGGUGAUGUAGCGCGUCUCGGGCGAGGUCCGCGCUUCGGCAAGGAUGAUGGCGUAAUGGUUGUCGGCGGCCCGUCUUGAAACACGGACCAAGGAGUCUAACAUCUAUGCGAGUGUUCGGGUGUCAAACCCCUACGCGUAAUGAAAGUGAACGGAGGUGGGAACUUUUUGUGCACCAUCGACCGAUCCUGAUGUCCUCGGAUGGAUUUGAGUAAGAGCAUAGCUGUUGGGACCCGAAAGAUGGUGAACUAUGCCUGAAUAGGGUGAAGCCAGAGGAAACUCUGGUGGAGGCUCGCAGCGGUUCUGACGUGCAAAUCGAUCGUCAAAUUUGGGUAUAGGGGCGAAAGACUAAUCGAACCAUCUAGUAGCUGGUUCCUGCCGAGC